UGGUGAGGUUUGCUAAAGAGGAAGGGAUGAAGCCUGAUAGUUGAUUUAGUUAGAUAUCUAGAUCACGUAAGUUCAGUAGGUUGCCUAAUUCACGAGGAAUGGUGCCAGAUAAAUUAUUGGUGUAGAGGUGCAAGGUAUCAAGCAUGGUGAGGUUUCCUAAAGUAGAAGGAAUGGAGCCCGAUAGUUGAUUUUCUGAGAGGUCUAAGAAGUCAAGCAUGCUGAGGUUUCCUAAAGUAGAAGGGAUGGAGCCUGAUAGUUGAUUUUCAAAAAUAGAUACUUCAUAUAAGUUCACUAGGUUGCCUAAUUCAUGCGGAAUGGUGCCCAAUAAAUUAUUUACACUAAGGUACAAAAUUUUGAGUUUGAUGAGAUUUCCUAAACUGGAGGGGAUGGAACCUAUUAAAUUAUUAUGUGAGAUUCGUAGAUCCAACAUGUUAACAAGAUUGCCCAGUUCCUGGGGAAUAUUACUAGAGAACUGAUUUCUGUAAAGGAAGAGGAAUCUUAGGUUGGUCAAGUUACCAAGGGUCGAAGGGAUGGGACCAGCGAGAUUGUUUUCGUAUAAAUAAAGCACACGUAGACUCUUGAGCUGGCCAAUCUCUGGAAGCAGUGUGCCACCAAGUAAAUUUUGUUGGAAUUUGAGAGAGAUCAGUUUGGUCCAGUUGGCAAAGAAACAAGGAGGAAUCUCACCAUUGAAUUUGUUUGAAGAAAGAUCGAUCUCAGUCAGGUUAGAGAGGCUGGCAAGAGGGAGGGGCAGAUUGCCGGAAAGGCGAUUAUGUGAGAGAUCGAGAGAGGUGAGAGCAGAAAGCGUGCGUAUGCUAGGCGGGAUUGCUCCAAAUAAGUAGUUGCGUCGGAGGUGGAGGCGAGUGAGAGAUGAGAGGGCAGAGAAGUUGAGGCCGUCGAGCUUACCUACCAAGCCCGCACGAGGUAGGCUGAUGCCCGUGAUCACAGCUCGGCCUCCAUUCUCCAUGCAGGUGAUGCCAUGCCACAUGCACACGUUGUUGGAGAGAGACCAAGAACCGAGUUGUUGGGCGUGUGAAUUUUGAAGGGUGGAUUUCCAAUGGAGCAGAACUCUCGCUUGGGAUUCAACGAUUGAAGAAGCAGCAGUUGCAGCAAUUGUCGUUGCUGAUGAGUAGUGAAGAAGGAAGAAGAAUAGCAGGAGAAGGCUAAUUGAUAAAUGAUUUAGAGGAAGAAGGAUUUGCCUACGACUAGGAUCCAUAAUUAAUAAGGCUCUCUAAGUUUUCCGUACGUGGUUUCUAGUUGUGCUGGUUGGUA
rnacentral:lncRNA from 1 species